UACGCGGGCCAGUUCCCAAUCUGAAACUCGCAAAUUCCGCAGUUCUCCACAGGUUCAGCCGGCAUGACGGCAACUGCCGGCCGCCGCCGGCAGCCGGAUGACCGUCGAGCUGUGCAAGGAAGUCGUAAAACAUCUCGUGUGCUCCGUCCAGACUCCAGACCGCAUUAUCGGCACCAGGAAGGCGCGGCGCCUGUGCUGACAACUCUGGAUACACCGCAUGGCGCAAGCGGGCGGGUGCCGCUUGGGAGCGCACCACUUGUUCGGCGGAACGCCCCGCCGAGACCGCCUCCUCGCCGAUGCGCAAAGGGGGACUCGCCAGCGCCGGUGCCGGAGCAGUAGAUCGAGCGCAGGGCCGAGGCCCCGUGAAUUGACCAGCCUGUACGGGUUCAGAAUUCAAAUCCGGUGGUGCAGGAUGACCUCGGUGUCAUGCAGUCAAGCCUUUUCUUCUUGUGAUGCUGUUGAUUCUUCUACACAAGUGGCUUUUUCUGCAGCAAUGAGGGGUCGGUGAGUGAUGGCAGACGGAAUUCGUGCAUCAUCCAGUCAGUUUUGAUGCCUUUGGCCGCUCUGCCCUUGUAAAAGACGAGAGACUUCUUCAAGCCUAUGCACUUGCUUCCAUCGGAGGAGUAGAUUGGCCUGUCAGUUCCGGUGGCCUUCCAGAAGCCUGCUCCUGUUACCCUGUUCGGCCUUGUGCUGUUCCGAUUGCAGAGAAGCAAAAAUAGUUGCCAAAGGAUUUGUAGAAUCUUACUUGGGAGAUCCCAUGGAUCAAACUUGUAGAUGUCUAGCUGCCUAAUAAGCUCGAUGGGAAGAGACUUCUGCUGGAUUUUUCUUUUGAGGUAGAACCUGACGAGUUCUUCAUCUGUUGGAUGAAACCUGAAACCAGAUCAGCAAUUGCAUAGCAGAUUCCUGAAGAAGUUUUUAAGGAGCUUCAUAUAUCAUAUCUGCAUUCCUGCAUCCAUCAGGUGUGUCAUGGGAGUGGGUGACGACUGACUGGUGGGCCAUGGGCAUGCAGCAGCCUCUCUCCUCGACAGGUACGCGCUUGUCUCUCCUGCUUUGCUUGACCUCGAUGGGGCUGUGUGUGCCACACACCCGCUCGUGCGGCCUCUCGUCUGAUGUUACUAGUACUGCUAGCUAGAGUAGCUACUCGGGGACGGCUGAGUCAAACCCUUCCGUUUCAAGUCUCCUUCGUAUCUUCUUCAUGCCCCUUGGUUAUGCGUGGCGCUUGUAAUAAGUUUGUUAGCAUCCAGGAUCCCAUGUUUCCAGGGUGCAGACUCCAAAUUUAAUCCCCUUGUACUCCU